AUUAAUAAUUAAUAUAUUUAAUAAAAAUAAUUUUAAUUUAAUAAAUAUUUUAAUGGGGGUUAAAGUAUUUUUUAAAGAAAAAAUUUUUAAAUUUAUAGUUAAUUAGUAUUGUGAAAGAAUUUUGAAAUAUUAUGAAAAAUAAAAUUUUUAGAAAGUAAUUUUUAUUUAUUGUAUCUUGUGUAUCAGAGUUUAUUAAAAAUUUUUAAUUUAUAAAUUAAUUUCUCGAAUUUAAAAGAGUUAAAUAAUUAUUAAAGUUAUUGUAGCAAAAUUAUUUUAAAUAAUUAUUUAGAAAUGAAAUGUUAAUCGUUUUUAAAUAUAUCUAGUUUUUAUAGAAAAAAAUUUAAUUUUAAAUUUAAAAAUUAUUUAAUUAAUUUAUUAAUUAAAUAAUUAUUUAAAUUUUAUAAUUUAAGGGAUAAGCUUUAAAUUAAAUUUUUAUAAUAUUAAAUUUUUAUUUUGAAAAUUUUAUAAUUUAUAUUGUUAAUAAAUUUUAUUUUGUUAUAAAUAAUUUCAUUUUUUUUAAAAUUUAAAUUUUAUUUAAUUUUUUAUAUAAAAUUUAUUUAUAAUUAUAUAAAGUUAAUUAUAAUGAUAAAAUUAGUAUAUUAUUUAAUAUUAAAUUAAAAUUAAUUUUUGAUUAAUAAUUAAAUUAAUUAAAAGGAAUUCGGCAAAUAUUUAUUUUCACUUGUUUAUCAAAAACAUGUCUUUUUGUUAUUUAAUUUAAAGUCUAAUCUGCCCACUGAUUUACAAAAAUUGAAGGGCUGCAGUAUAUUGACUGUACAAAGGUAGCAUAAUCAUUAGUCUCUUAAUUGGUGACUUGUAUGAAAGAUUGGAUGAAAAAUAUACUGUCUCUUAAUUAAUAUAUAGAAUUUAAUUUUUUAUUUAAAAAGUUAAAAUAAUUUAAAAAGACGAGAAGACCCUAUAGAGUUUAAUAAAUUAUUUUAUGAAAGUUUUAUUUAUAUUUACUAAUAAUUUUAUAAAUUUAUUUAUUUUGUUGGGGUGAUAAAAAAAUAAAUUUAACUUUUUUUAAGUAAUUUACAUGAAUAAGUGAUUAAU
rnacentral:rRNA from 1 species